rnacentral:tRNA from 1 species
GGAGAGUUCGCAUAGUGGUCUAGUGCGCGCGCUUGGAAAGCGCGUAUACCCAAAAGGUAUCAAGGGUUCGAAUCCCUUACUCUCCG